rnacentral:rRNA from 1 species
AGAAUCAACGCUGGCGGCGUGCCUAACACAUGCAAGUCGAACGAGAAAGUGGAGCAAUCCAUGAGUAAAGUGGCGACCGGGUGAGUAACACGUGACUAACCUACAUUCAAGUGGGGGAUAACCUCGGGAAACCGAGGCUAAUACCGCAUAAUAUCGCAAGAUCAAAGCAGCAAUGCGCUGGAAGAGGGGGUCGCGGCUGAUUAGCUAGUUGGCGGGUAACGCCACAAGGCGAAGAUCGGUA